UCAGAUAAGGUAUUUAAUUUU
rnacentral:miRNA from 1 species